AAGUAAUGAAAAAGAAAAAGUUAUGUAGUUGGACCAUCUGUUAUAUCCGUUCGAGUUUUGGUAAUUGAGAGAGUCAUCAUAUCAGUGCCUUGGGGAAAUGCCUACCUUCAGGAGAAGAUUACCGAAUGAGUUUCAAACCUGUCCUCUUCGCUUCCCAAGAUAUUUAGGGAAAGGGGCCUUGUCGGCCACCGCUUGCUGACGACGGAACGCAUCGUCAAUUAACGGGUCCUCGCCUUGGACUUAGUUGGAAAGGUAGGUGUUCGGCAUGUCCCUUGCUUGCGAACUUCUUUAGUCCCUUUCCUCUUCGCUUCCCAAGAUAUUUAGGGAAAGGGGCCUUGUCAACCACCGCUUGCUGACGACGGAACGCAUCGUCAAUUAACGGGCCCUCGCCUUGGACUUAGUUGGAAAGGUAGGUGUUCGGCAUGUCCCUUGCUUGCGAACUUCUUUAGUAGGGCGGAGGUGCCAUUCCUCACGUUUACCGUUGUCCCCAGACUUCACUCUUUCAACACUUGUAUACUUUCUAAAGAGUCAGGCAUGCCCCUGUCCCUGUCUCCAAGUGUGUGAUCCACCGAUUCACUGAGUGACUUUUUCUUACCGCUGCGCUUACGUCCCUCUCUCUUAAAGCCCUAUCAGACUUCCCUUGCCGAUUGAAGAAAGCCUUAUAUGGCUUCAAACAAGCGAGAAAGGCCCUUUCUAUCUUAUUAGUCAAGCGCGCUAGCUGCAAUCAAAAAACAGCGCUAACGAGCAAGAAAACGGAUGCGCUAAGGCGCAACUUCGCGCAGCUGCUGCGCCCUUGCUUCUUGCUUUCGAGCCGGAGCUUGCUGGGUAGUGAAGUGGUCCGUGAAGGUUAAAUAAGACUUGUGUUAAGCAAGCAGAGUAGUCAAGCCAGAGAGGAAAAAAAAGCAAGAAGCUGUUUUCGUUCGAUCGACGGAAUCAAUCGUACUUUCACUGCUGUGGACCGGCUUUCAUAAAGCACCUUUGGGCAGCAGCAACUAUUGGGAUCCAAUUUCGAGAUCAAUUCGACAAUGAAACUCUUUAA
rnacentral:lncRNA from 1 species